rnacentral:tmRNA from 2 species
GGGGAUGAAGGGAUUUGAUUGGAAGGUUUAUAUUUAGGAGUCAGGCCGAAGCGCUAAUCUUCGUAAAAAUUAGCAAAGUAUAACUGUCAACGAAUAUGUUGAUCAGCCGGUUUACGCUUACGUUUAAGCCGGCGCAGCUGCCGUUUUUAACGGCGGAGUUCUUGCGGAUCAGCCCCGGCGGAACUGCAAAGAGCUUUAUAAAACCGGGAUGAGGUUUUAAGUUUUGGCUAAGCUUAAGGCCAAGAAGAGUUAAUCUUCAAACUUUUGCCUUUGAGGGAGUUAAGGUUUGCCAAGGCGGCCUCCCUUAAGAUAAAGCUUUGGCUACGCUUGUAUUGCUUUUGGAUGUAAUCUUUUAAGACGGGGGUUCAACUCCCCCCAUCUCCACCA